AAAUAAUAAAAAAGUGCCUGCACGAUAAUAUCUGUUCCGUUUUCUGUUCUGAGUUUGUACCUAAAUCCUCCUCAUGCAUUUAUUUGUCUUCUUCUCUAUUACUUCUUUGCUGAGACCUGGUUCAGUUUGCUGUUUACAGUUCUGGUAGAACUAGUUCCUGUUCACAUUAGAUCUGUUUCCAUCGGUAUAUUCCUGUUUAUGAUGAACUGUGUUGGGGGUAAUCUUCCGAUGCUUGUUGAUCCUAUAUCCUCGUACAUAGGUCUGCAGUACACCCUGUACAUAGCCUGGCCUGCUGUACUUGCUACCAGUGGUGUUCUGUUCUUCCUAUCCAGUAUACCUCUAUUCAAGAAAAGAUCCUAGCUCCAGAAUCCUAAGGAAUAA